UUUAGGGUUUUAGUCCAAAUCACAAUAUCUAUCACUGAUCUGAGUCUGUCUGAUGCCGUUUUUCAGAAUUUCUUAUGUUUGUUGUAAUGAUUUUUGCUUAAUAUUUUGAUUUUGUUUAGGUAUGAAUUGAGAGAUUUGUCGAUGAUGAUAGAACUAAGGCUUGUUUCUCAAGAACAUUCGCAGUUGCCGCCUGAGAACUUUCGCCUUUCGCCGGGCUUGAGAGUUUAUGCUGCUUUAUCCUUCCUUGGAUGUCUGAGACUCUUGCAAUCUCUUCAGUUCAUAUUCUUAAUGUUAAACGUUUUUUUCAAUUAGAGAUUUUAAGAUGGAGGUAACAGCUCUUGUUCGAGGUUGAACCCAUCAAACACGAAAAUGUUGUAUUGUUGAAUAUCGCCCUCUGGUAGCAUACGUCCAGCAAUGAUGUUGUGUCUCAGGCUCGUUUGCAUAUACCAACUCGAUUCAUCGUCUAGUGCUGCCGGUUUGAUCCAAAAUGUGAUACAGCAAAUUGGUUUCAUAGACGUAAAAUUUUGUAGGAUCCUUUCACCUGGUCAAACCAAAGAGAAGGGAAUCAGAAUAUCAGGGAGAGGAUUGAUAGAAGCCUGGUCAAUGUACAAUGGUUUGAAAAUUUCCCUGAUGGGGUUGUUCAUCAUCUUACUAGGGUUGCCUCUGAUCACAAUCCUUUGCUUAUAGACUUGGUGCCGACUAGGAAGCCACAUAAAAGACCAUACAGAUACUUUAGGGGUUGGAUUGAACACAAGGAGUAUAUGAUGUUUUUUGAUAAAGCUUGGCGUAAAAAUAAGAACUCUGAGAA